rnacentral:rRNA from 1 species
UAACCUGCCUGGUAGCGGGGGAUAACUAUUGGAAACGAUAGCUAAUACCGCAUAAGAGUAGAUGUUGCAUGACAUUUGCUUAAAAGGUGCAAUUGCGUCACUACCAGAUGGACCUGCGUUGCAUUAGCUAGUUGGUGAGGUAACGGCUCACCAAGGCAACGAUACAUAGCCGACCUGAGAGGGUGAUCGGCCACACUGGGACUGAGACACGGCCCAG